rnacentral:rRNA from 1 species
UGGGGAAUAUUGCACAAUGGAGGGAACUCUGAUGCAGCGACGCCGCGUGAGUGAUGAAGGAAUUCGUUUCGUAAAACUCUGUUCUAUGGGAAGAAAAGGACUGUACCAUAGGAGAAAGCUCCGGCUAAAUACGUGCCAGCAGCCGCGGUAAUACGUAUGGAGCGAGCGUUGUCCGGAAUUAUUGGGCGUAAAGGGUGCGCAGGCGGCUUUACAAGUUGGAUGUGAAAUAUUGUGGCUCAACCACAAACGUGCAUCCAAAACUGCAAAGCUUGAGUUAAGGAGAGGUAAGUGUAAUUCCUGGUGUAGCGGUGGAAUGCGUAGAUCUCAGGAGGAAUACCGGUGGCGAAGGCGACUUACUGGACUUAAACUGACGCUCAGGCACGAAAGCGUGGGGAGCAAACAGG